CACAGGGGCCUCGGCAGCUCUGGGGCUGGCACACAUCUGUCUUCCUCUGAUCCCUCCCGCUCGACGCCAGGGCCUUGGGCUCACACCCCCAUCUCCUGGCAGCACUGGGGACCACUCUGGGGUGGGUCCGCCUGGCCAGAUGGCCCCCAAGCCCUGGUUUCCCUUACCUGUCAGACCGAGGGUGCGGGUGGGGAGGGACCCCAGCUCGUCACUCUGGGGCCUCUGCAGGUGGCCGUUGACUUCACCCUCGGAACAGCUGCUCCCUCCACUAUAUCAACUCCUUCCAGCCCAGCGAGUACCUGCAGGCCCUGGUGGCCGUGGGCGAGAUCUGCCAGGACUAUGACAGCGACAAGAGGCUCUCUGCUUUGGGGUUUGGAGCCCAGAUCCCUCCCAAGGAUGAGGUGUCCCAUGACUUUGCCAUCAAUUUCAACCUGGAGGACGGUGAGUGUGAAGGUAGGAGCUCCAGGUGCCUGGGCUGGGGGUGGGGUGGCAGCGAGGCCGGCUCAUGCCCUUCCCCCCGCAGGCAUCCAGGGCAUGGUGGAGGCGUCCCAGAACUGCCUGCCCAGGGUCCAGCUGUAUGGCCACCACGUGGCUCCCAUCAUCUCCAAGGUGGCCUGCACGGCUGCAGCUGAGGAACGCAGCGGAGAGGCUCCUGUAGGUGGUGGGCGGGCACUGCGGGGACCGCGUGCCUUAGAAGGUGUGCCUGCUGCUGGGGAGGUGGGACCGGAUGGGGGUUUGCAGAGGUUGACAGAGCAGCCCGCGGGAGGCCCUGAGGCAGGGAGCGAGAGGCAGCUGGGUGGCAGUGGGGCUGAGAGACCAGGAGGCCCCAGAGCCAGUGGGGUAAGGUGAAUUCUUGCCCUGGAGGCUGACUUGCCGAGCCCGCAGGCAGCCCGAUGCUUAUGGUUCUCUUGGUCCAAUUGUGUAUACGUCGUUAUUUUUUUUUUUUUUUUUGUCUUUUUUUUGUUGUUGUUGUUGCUAUUUCUUUGGGCCGCUCCCACAGCAUAUGGAGGUACCCAGGCUAGGGGUUGAAUCGGAGCUGUAGCCACCGGCCUACGCCAGAGCCACAGCAACGCAGGAUGCGAGCUGCGGCUGCAACCUACACCACAGCUCACGGCAACGCCGGAUCGUUAACCCACUGAGCAAGGGCAGGGACCGAACCCGCAACCUCAUGGUUCCUAGUCGGAUUCGUUAACCACUGCGCCACGACGGGAACUCCCAUACGUCGUUAUUUUGUUUGCAUGUGCUCUUGUUUGGUUUUUUUGCUUUUUGAGGGUUGCACCCAAAGCAUAUGGAGGUUCCCAGGCUAGGGGUUGAAUCAGAGCUACACCUGCUGGCCUACACCACAGCCACAGCAACGCCAGAUCCUUAACCCACCGAGCAAGAGCAGGGAUCUUGCUCAACCUCACGGUUCCUAACUGGAUUCGUUUCCGCUGCACCAUGACAAGAACUCCUGUUUGCAUGUGUGUGUUUUUUUGUUUUUGUUUUUGUCUUUUUUAGGGCCACAUCUGCGGCAUGUGGAGGUUCCCAGGCUAGGGGUCUACUCGGAGCUACAGCUGCCGGCCUACACCAGAGCCACAGCAACGUGGGAUCCGAGCCAUGUCUGCCACCUACACCACAGCUCACAACAAUGGGGGAUCCUUAACGUACUGAGUGAGGCCAGGGAUCGAACCUGCAACCUCGUGGUUCCUAGUUGGAUUCGUUUCCGCUGCGCCAUGAUGGGAACUCCUGCGUGUGUUUUUAAUUUGCACAAAUAAUACUGAGCUAAAGGCUGCAUUCUACUCCAGUUUUCAUCCUGUUUUGUAGAUCUGCCCCUGCUGCUGUGGGCAUGGCUUCUCUGUUGCUUUCUUUCAAAUUUUUUUUUGAACAAAACCCUGAAAGAAUGGAGGGAGAGCCGGCAGCUUUGGCGCCCUUCCCCGGGACCUCUCCUGUCCCUGCGUGUUCCUCUUUCCUCCUUCCCGCCGUGCGAGAGCAGGCUGACCGCCCCGGAGUCCUCCGGGUCCACCUGCUCAUCUCCAGCCAGGACCCUGUGCGCGGCCGCAGUUCGGCUCUCAGGCCCACAGUGAGGGCGGUUCCCUCCUCCCACCUCGCCCCCGCGUCUCUCUGUCCCCAUCCCAGGCCCCGCAGACCCAUGUCCCAUGUCCGGGGCCCCUGACCGGAUCGUUCCUCUCAGCCCUGCUCUGUCCUCGGGCCGCCCGUCACCCGAGCCGUGCUCACCGCUGUUGCCCCUUCACCCCGUCCCACCUCGAUGCUGCGGUUCCUGAAUGGCACCCUGGCACACGUACCAGUUUCGAGUGACUGGAUUUAGAUCCAGUGCCUUAUAGAACAUCCUGCGUCUGCCUUCGCCGCCCCAGCGGUGGUUCCACUGCACUAGGAUUUGUGGCGCAGGAAAGGGUCACGUUCGGCCAUGUCCCCAUGUUAUGCUGGAGCAAGUCUCCGACACAGAAUUUCAUUUGUAAACAUUAGCAUAAACCCUGAAAGAGAGAAAAUGGAGGCCAAUGCCUUUGUCACACCUGAAACCCAGUGACAGUUCCCCGGUGUGAGAUGUCCAGCCGCCUCGUCCACCAGCGACGGCUUUUCCAGGAGGAGAAGGGUUAAAGGUCAAGGACUUCGACCUGGCGGUGGGUGUGUCCUUCCUGCUGUGAGACCCCCGGCUCCUGUGGUCCCCUGCGUAUGUCCACGAGCGCCCCCUGGAGGCUGCUGACCUUGCCCUUGGGGGCCCGCCCCUCCUGGCUCCUGCGAGGGUCAGAGUCUGCGGGGUGCUUGGGGUGCUCAGGUCUGGCUCCGGCCUUGCUGGGGCUCAGACCCUUCCUCCCCGAGCAAGGUGGAUGCGGGGAGACGCUGGGCGUGUGUCCUGGGCCCCCUUCCCGGUGCCUCCCCCCCGACGUUUGCACCACCCACCUCCUCCUGGGGUGGCCCUGCCCCUCUGCUGAGGCCUCGUGGCGCCCUGACUGCGGUGGCCCUGAGCUGGCUGCGGUGUGUCCCGCUGGCCGGCACAGGGUUGUGAGAUCUUGACGGGGGCGGGGGAGGGCGUGGGUUCUCCUGAAGAGGGGCCCUCACGCGGGACCUGAACAGGAGGCUGUGCACCCCAUGAUCUGGGGCUCAGAGCGGGGAGCCCCUGGCGUGGUGUCUUUUUUCUUAGGAGGCGCUGCAGUGCUGGUGCCCUUGGCCAGCGGCUGGACCUCCUGGUGGACCGCCCGGCCUUCCAGGGCUGGGGCUCCCUGAGGUUCUUUCCUCUCUUGGGGGCUCCCUCUAGAUUUUUAGUAGCGGCCCCGGAGUGGUUCGUUUUGUUUUGUUUUUGCUUUUUGAGGGCUGCCCCCGCGGCAUAAGGAGAUUCCCAGGCUAGGAAUCAGAUUGGAGCUACAGCUACUGCCACAGCAACACCAGAUCCGAGCCGCAUCUGCAACCUACACCACAGCUCAUGGCAACGCCGGAUCCUUAACCCACUGAGCGAGACCAGGGAUCGAACCCGCGACCUCGCGGAUCCUGGUCGGACUCGUUCCUGCUGCGCAACGAC
rnacentral:lncRNA from 9 species